rnacentral:misc_RNA from 1 species
CAGGAAGAAAAAAAGAAAAAGAAAAUCGACCUUCCUUUUCCAGUUUCCCCUGCCUCCCCAAUUUUCGAUCAACAAAAAAAUUCACAAGGAAUCGAAGCAGAAAGCAUCAAGAAAGUAGAUACAGAAGAAGAGGAAGAAGUUUUUGAGGAAAAAGUGAAAAGGGGUUCAAGAAAAGAUCAAUCUUUCUUGCUUAGAGAUGGCUCUAAUGCGCCUUCUCACACAGGUUGAAAGGCAGCAACCUCAAUUGAGGCAGCUAAGCAAUUUUCUCAAUAGAACCUAUCUUACGUCUAGAGAGGCGAUUGGAGGUGGAGUACAUGGAGCUGGAAGAACCAAGGGAAGGUUUCGAUCAAGUUAUGUUGGAAGCCUAGCCCGGCGGGCACGUGAAACGGAAGAAACUACUGAUGCAGCAUAUCUGAGAGAGCUAUAUCAUAAGAAUGAUCCAGAGGCAGUCAUAAGACUGUUUGAAGGCCAACCUUCACUUCAUUCUAAUCCAGCAGCACUCUCUGAGUAUGUUAAGGCACUGGUUAAGGUUGAUAGAUUAGAUGAAAGUGAGUUGCUCCGGACAUUGCAGAGAGGGAUUGGCGGUACUGCUAGCUCUCAUGCAGAAGAAGCAAAUAUGGGAGCUCUUUCAGCUUUUAGGAAUGUUGGCAAAGCUACAAAAGAUGGUGCUCUUGGUACUCCUAAUGCUCCUAUACAUAUGGUGGCUGUUGAAGGGGGUCAUUUCAAAGAACAGUUGUGGCGUACUUUCCGGGCUCUUGGAUUGGCCUUUCUCUUGAUUUCAGGUGUUGGUGCACUCAUUGAAGAUAGAGGAAUCAGCAAAGGACUUGGUCUAAAUGAGGAAGUGCAGCCGACCAUGGAAACCAAUACAAGAUUUGCCGACGUUAAGGGUGUUGAUGAGGCUAAAGGGGAGUUGGAAGAAAUUGUUCACUAUCUCCGAGACCCUAAGCGAUUCACUCGUCUUGGUGGCAAACUCCCAAAGGGUGUGCUACUUGUUGGUCCUCCUGGAACCGGUAAGACCAUGUUGGCAAGAGCUAUAGCAGGAGAAGCUGGGGUUCCCUUUUUCUCAUGCAGUGGUAGUGAGUUUGAGGAAAUGUUUGUGGGUGUUGGAGCCCGGAGAGUAAGAGACCUUUUUGCAGCUGCUAAGAAACGAUCACCCUGCAUUAUAUUCAUUGAUGAAAUUGAUGCCAUUGGAGGAAGCCGUAACCCAAAGGACCAACAAUAUAUGAGGAUGACUUUGAAUCAGUUGCUUGUUGAGCUGGAUGGGUUCAAACAAAAUGAUGGAGUCAUUGUGAUUGCGGCCACUAACUUCCCAGAAUCAUUGGACAAGGCACUGGUGAGACCUGGACGAUUCGAUCGCAACAUUGUUGUCCCAAAUCCUGAUGUUGAAGGUCGGAAGCAGAUUCUGGAAUCUCACAUGUCAAAGAUUGUCAAGGCAGAUGAUGUCGACCUUAUGAUCAUUUCUAGGGGGACUCCUGGGUUUUCCGGGGCUGACCUUGCCAAUUUGGUUAACAUUGCUGCUGUGAAGGCUGCAAUGGAAGGUGCUAAAGCUGUAAGCUUGGCUGAUCUAGAGUAUGCUAAGGACAAGAUCAUGAUGGGAAGUGAGCGCAAAUCAGCUUUCAUAUCCAAAGAGACGAGAAAGCUUACAGCCUACCAUGAAGGUGGCCAUGCUCUUGUGGCUAUUCAUACAGAUGGGGCUCUUCCUGUGCACAAAGCAACUAUUGUUCCACGAGGAAUGGCUCUUGGUAUGGUUGCUCAAUUGCCUGAAAAGGACGAAACUAGCAUCUCCCGUAAGCAGAUGCUUGCUCGACUUGAUGUUGCCAUGGGUGGGCGAGUUGCUGAAGAGCUCAUUUUCGGCGAAAGUGAAGUAACUUCUGGUCCAUCUGAUGAUCUCAAGCAAGCAACCAAGCUAGCCAGAACCAUGGUCACCAAGUUUGGUAUGAGCAAAGAAGUUGGGCUCGUUACCCAUAACUACGACGAUAAUGGGAAGAGCAUGAGCACUGAGACUAGA